AUUGAACGCUGGCGGCAGGCCUAACACAUGCAAGUCGAGCGGGGUUUUCGGACCUAGCGGCGGACGGGCGAGUAAUGCGUAGGAAGCUACCCGAUAGAGGGGGAUACCAGUUGGAAACGACUGUUAAUACCGCAUAAUGUCUACGGACCAAAGUGUGGGACCUUCGGGCCACAUGCUAUCGGAUGCGCCUACGUGGGAUUAGCUAGUUGGUGGGGUAAUGGCUCACCAAGGCGACGAUCCCUAGCUGGUUUGAGAGGAUGAUCAGCCACACUGGAACUGAGACACGGUCCAGACUCCUACGGGAGGCAGCAGUGGGGAAUAUUGGACAAUGGGCGCAAGCCUGAUCCAGCCAUGCCGCGUGUGUGAAGAAGGCCUUCGGGUUGUAAAGCACUUUCAGUAGGGAGGAAGGGUGUUGUGUUAAUAGCACAGCAUUUUGACGUUACCUACAGAAGAAGCACCGGCUAACUCUGUGCCAGCAGCCGCGGUAAAAC
rnacentral:rRNA from 1 species